AGUGAACGCUGGCGGCAGGCCUAACACAUGCAAGUCGAACGGCAGCACAGAGGAGCUUGCUCCUUGGUGGCGAGUGGCGGACGGGGUGAGGAAUACAUCGGAAUCUGCCCAGUCGUGGGGGAUAACAUAGGGAAACUUAUGCUAAUACCGCAUACGACCUACGGGUGAAAGCGGGGGAUCGCAAGACCUCGCGCGAUUGGAUGAGCCGAUGUCCGAUUAGCUAGUUGGCGGGUAAUGGCCCACCAAGGCGACGAUCGGUAGCUGGUCUGAGAGGAUGAUCAGCCACACUGGAACUGAGACACGGUCCAGGACUCCUACGGAGGCAGCAGUGGGGAAUAUUGGACAAUGGGCGCAAGCCUGAUCCAGCCAUG
rnacentral:rRNA from 1 species